UACGAAGGGGGCUAGCGUUGCUCGGAAUCACUGGGCGUAAAGCGCACGUAGGCGGCUUUUUAAGUCAGGGGUGAAAUCCUGGAGCUCAACUCCAGAACUGCCUUUGAUACUGGAGAUCUUGAGUCCGGGAGAGGUGAGUGGAACUCCGAGUGUAGAGGUGAAAUUCGUAGAUAUUCGGAAGAACACCAGUGGCGAAGGCGGCUCACUGGCCCGGUACUGACGCUGAGGUGCGAAAGCGUGGGGAGCAAAGCAGG
rnacentral:rRNA from 1 species